AUCUUGCAGUAUUCUCUUAAUGUCCAUCUAUGCAGGAAAUUGUAUAUCAGAUCACUGUUCUACUCCAGAACGUAUGGCAGUUGAGGUUGAUAUGGUGUGUAUUCACAGGUGUCAUGUGGAGGACUGGAAGUGGGGGAGUUGACUGUUGUGCAUCUUUCCAUAGACCAACAGGUGGGGCUAUGAUUGCUUAAUGUUUUGAAUAAUUAAAAAAAAAUGUGAUUACCAGCUAAUAUUGAAAGCAUCCCUAAAGUGUAAGUAAACAACAUGUUAAAUAACAAGAAAAAUAUAUUUUUUGCCUUUAGAAUUUGUCUAUUUUGUGCUAUGAUUGUUACAGUUGUAAAUUAUACAGAAUAUCGGGUUAACUGGAAAUAUUGUCUCAUGUAAUUGUAGAUAAAUGCUAAUUGCAAGCUGUAUUGAUAUAUUUAUUUUUACAGAUUGUAUUUUGUCAGUUUUGUUACUUAAUGUGUCUGUGUAUGUAUUAUAUUUUAGUAGUUAAAAACAACUUAGAACACGUUUGGAAGUACCUGAAAAUGCUUGUAUCAUUGUUUAAACAUUGGAAUUGUUUGUUUUAAAAUGUAUGCAUCCAUAUUUUUUACUUUUGAUGUCUCUCAUUUGCCAGUUACAGAAAUGGGGGAGGUUGUUGUCUCUUAGGUAUGGUUUAUCACCAUUUGUAAAUAAGUCAGUAGUUUUUUUUAUGCUAAUUUGUUUUCUGCUCUCGGUUCUUUCAGUAGUAGCUCCUGAACACCUUAUUUUGCAUAUGAAGCCUUUAAAUUGGAAUCUAAAUUAAAAAGACAAAUGUUCCAUCUUAUUGACAAACAUUUAUUCCUACAUGAAAUUUAUGUUUUGUCUUUAUUGUUAAAGCCAUAACACAUUAAUAAUCCUUCUUAUAUGACUAUCAGCUGUAAAAAUCAGUAGAUCAUGGAGCACAACAGGUACAAUAAAGACAAUCAGGGUAUCAUUGCAGUGAUUAAAGCCUGUGCAGCUUUCUAAAACAAAAACAAUGCUGAUAUUCAGACAUUAUUUAACCUUCUGGUGUUAUUAUUUUGUAUACAUUUUUGUAAGCAACUGCAAUGAAAGAAAAGAAAGAAUUAUACAACUUUGCAUUAAAAUCAAAUAUUUUAUUUUUGAAAAUACAAAACAAGCCAAAAUUUGUAGAAGAUUUAAAUCAGUGGACUGUCAUAUGUGAAAGAAAUCAAAUGUAAGUCAGGGAUACGAUCAACUCUGCUGGGCUCCAUUCAAAGAAGCUUCUGUGCUGUUCUCAACUGCUGAAAGACCAAAAGACCAUGGAAGCCUCAUGACCUGGUUUAAUCAUCACCUGGGGUGAGUAGAAAGCAGAGUAGGGCAGACAUUAAAUCUUACUUAAUCUGUUUUCUGUUGUUCUCUACAGUUGGGAAUGGAGGAAAUGUAUUGGAAGAGUAAUAAAGGUGAGGCUGUAAUUAUUGGGGCUGCUUUUUCUACAAAACAAGGCAAGUCAAAAGUGGGGAGAAUAAAACUUAAUAAAAUUUGAAGUGCUUG
rnacentral:lncRNA from 1 species